rnacentral:rRNA from 1 species
AUGAACGCUGGCGGCGUGCCUAAUACCUGCAAGUCGAGCGAACAGACGAGGAGCUUGCUCCUCUGACGUUAGCGGCGGACGGGUGAGUAACACGUGGAUAACCUACCUAUAAGACUGGGAUAACUUCGGGAAACCGGAGCUAAUACCGGAUAACAUGUUGAACCGCAUGGUUCAACAGUGAAAGACGGUUUUGCUGUCACUUAUAGAUGGAUCCGCGCCGCAUUAGCUAGUUGGUAAGGUAACGGCUUACCAAGGCAACGAUGCGUAGCCGACCUGAGAGGGUGAUCGGCCACACUGGAACUGAGACACGGUCCAGACUCCUACGGGAGGCAGCAGUAGGGAAUCUUCCGCAAUGGGCGAAAGCCUGACGGAGCAACGCCGCGUGAGUGAAGAAGGUCUUCGGAUCGUAAAACUCUGUUAUUAGGGAAGAACAAAUGUGUAAGUAACUAUGCACGUCUUGACGGUACCUAAUCAGAAAGCCACGGCUAACUACGUG